UUUAUAUUCUUCCGUCCAAUAAAAGAUGUCUCAAGUUUGUCAAAAUUUAGAUGUAUCUAGACAUGCCUUAGUGUAUAGAUGCAUUCAAAUUUAAUCAAAGUUGAGACAUUCUUUGUUGUACGGAGGAAGUACUAG
rnacentral:pre_miRNA from 1 species